UGUCAAGGAAUUGGGUCAACCUUGGCGCUUGUAGAAUAUUUAUAAACCUAGGCGCUUCUAAACCAUAUAUAUUUGAUUCAAUGACGCUUUUUAAGUUGAUGCUUUUGGAAGUGUCAUGGUUGGAAAUGGAAGGUAACCUUGGCACUUUUAUAAGUGUCAUUGAAAUGGAGUUCAGACAUUGGCACUUAUAUUAAGCGUCAUUGAAUUUACUAGUAUAUAUUUCUUUCUUUUUCCUCAUCCUAACACAUUACGCUCUCAUCCCAACCCUUGGAGCCCUAAGCCAGGACAAUCACCCACAUCUUCAACCACCACCAGCACUAAUCGAUGAGAAAAUGUUACGAACAUGUUGAAGGUACUCUCAUUUCAUUUCUUUUUGGUUUGUUUGCUUACCUAGAAAAUGAGAGAAAAAACCAUAAAUUAGGUUUAAAUUUUUUGAAUCUAAAAUCUUGAAAUUUUUUGGAUCCAAAAUCUUGAAUUGGUUGAUUAGAUUGUUUCAGUUAUAUAUAACCUUCUGAUUUUUAUGUUUGAUUGAGAAAAAUGUGAGAGGGAUUUGAAAAAUGCAGAUACCCUAUUUUCCUAAACCCUAACUCUUUAAACAAUCCAUUAUUGAGGCUUUCUCCAUUGUAAGGAACCUCGGGGUGCACUUGUUUUAUCCAUUAUCAGCUUCUAGAAUUGACUGCAUUUUUUCUUGGUUUCUCGAUCCACUUUACUUAACACCUCUGGUGCUGCUCCUAGAAGGGGCAAUCAGUGUAUAGAAUGAUGCCAGUUGUUUAAAUAUGUUUCACUUGUCCAAUAAAUGGUUGAAUUUUUGUUUAAGGUUUGGAGUAACACCAUUGAGUCCAUUAUGCAUACAAUUUUUAUUUCAGAAUUUCUUAAUUUUCUGAAAUGUUUUAUGUGCAGUGUUUGGGUUGCACGCAGACCACCAGGCUAUGCUUUUAUCGACUUUGAUGACCGGAUGAUGCCAAUGACAAGCUUGCAAAGGAAAUUGGCUUACAAGAAGAAGAGAAAUCAUUACAAUAAAGCGAUGUUGGAAAUCAUGAAGAUGAUAUCAUUUAAAUCUUUAAAAGGUUGAACUAGACUUUUGUUGAUGGUGGUUUCUUUUUGUAGUUAUUGCACCAGUAUUUGUUCUUAUAUUGGAUUUAAAAAUUCUCAUUGAAAUAUUUUGAUCUAAUGAACAAAUUUAUAAUUUGUAUACAAGUAAUUAUACUAAUUAUU